rnacentral:rRNA from 1 species
UACGGAGGGUGCAAGCGUUAUCCGGAUUUACUGGGUUUAAAGGGUGUGUAGGCGGGGCUUUAAGUCAGGGGUGAAAUCUCCGAGCUCAACUUGGAAACUGCCAUUGAUACUAUUGAUCUUGAAUUUUGUUGAGGUAGGCGGAAUAAGUCAUGUAGCGGUGAAAUGCAUAGAUAUGACUUAGAACACCAAUUGCGAAGGCAGCUUACUAAGCAAAUAUUGACGCUGAGGCACGAAAGCGUGGGGAUCAAACAGG